rnacentral:rRNA from 1 species
AUAGUGAACCAGUACCGUGAGGGAAAGGCGAAAAGAACCCCGGCGAGGGGAGUGAAAAAGAACCUGAAACCGUGUACGUACAAGCAGUGGGAGCACGCUUCGGCGUGUGACUGCGUACCUUUUGUAUAAUGGGUCAGCGACUUAUAUUCUGUAGCAAGGUUAACCGAAUAGGGGAGCCGAAGGGAAACCGAGUCUUAACUGGGCGUUAAGUUGCAGGGUAUAGACCCGAAACCCGGUGAUCUAGCCAUGGGCAGGUUGAAGGUUGGGUAACACUAACUGGAGGACCGAACCGACUAAUGUUGAAAAAUUAGCGGAUGACUUGUGGCUGGGGGUGAAAGGCCAAUCAAACCGGGAGAUAGCUGGUUCUCCCCGAAAGCUAUUUAGGUAGCGCCUCGUGAAUUCAUCUCCGGGGGUAGAGCACUGUUUCGGCAAGGGGGUCAUCCCGACUUACCAACCCGAUGCAAACUGCGAAUACCGGAGAAUGUUAUCACGGGAGACACACGGCGGGUGCUAACGUCCGUCGUGAAGAGGGAAACAACCCAGACCGCCAGCUAAGGUCCCAAAGUCAUGGUUAAGUGGGAAACGAUGUGGGAAGGCCCAGACAGCCAGGAUGUUGGCUUAGAAGCAGCCAUCAUUUAAAGAAAGCGUAAUAGCUCACUGGUCGAGUCGGCCUGCGCGGAAGAUGUAACGGGGCUAAACCAUG